rnacentral:lncRNA from 1 species
CCAUGCUUUUUUCAAAGAGUGCGGAUCCUUUGUAGUACCAUGAUGCAUUGUAUGGUACAGUGCAUCACGCAUUCCAUCCAUCAUGCGAUAGAUGACUGUGUAUGGCCACGCAUGUGCGUACACACGGUCGCAUGUAUCAUUCAUCGUGUGAUGGAUAGAGCACGCAUUGCACCGCACCAUACGGUGCACUGCAGAAGAUCCAUGUGGUUUUUGAAAACCACAGUGCUUCCAUGCGGCUUCCUUCGGUUAUCUUAAAAGGGACACAUGACGGACGGAGGCUUCUCAACGA